GCAUAACGCGAAGAACCUUACCUACUCUUGACAUCUAGCGAAGAUUGCAGAGAUGCAGUUGUGCCUUCGGGGACGCUAAGACAGGUGCUGCAUGGCUGUCGUCAGCUCGUGUUGUGAAAUGUUGGGUUAAGUCCCGCAACGAGCGCAACCCUUAUCCUUAGUUGCCAGCACGUAAUGGUGGGAACUCUAGGGAGACUGCCGGUGAUAAACCGGAGGAAGGUGGGGACGACGUCAAGUCAUCAUGGCCCUUACGAGUAGGGCUACACACGUGCUACAAUGGUACGUACAGAGGGAGGCAAGCUGGCGACAGUGAGCGGAUCUCUUAAAGCGUAUCGUAGUCCGGAUCGCAGUCUGCAACUCGACUGCGUGAAGUCGGAAUCGCUAGUAAUCGCAAAUCAGAAUGUUGCGGUGAAUACGUUCCCGGGUCUUGUACACACCG
rnacentral:rRNA from 1 species